AAGUCGAACAAGGUUUUCCGUAGGUGAACCUGCGGAAGGAUCAUUACAAAUAAAGCUAAGGCAUAGGAAAGGUGGGGGUCUUUGAUCUUGUUAAGUGGGUAGGAGCGAAAAGUCCCGGGCUCGCCUCCCGAAAAUGUCUUACAUGUCCCCCCACGAGCCUGAAAGGCCGAAUUUUACAACCCAUUGAUUAUCUACAAUUUAGUUGCAUUUGGGGUUGCUCAAGUGCCCCAGAGGACCCUAACUCUCUUGCAUUUAGUGAACGUCUGAGUACUAUAUAAUAUUUAAAA
rnacentral:misc_RNA from 1 species